rnacentral:rRNA from 1 species
GACGAACGCUGGCGGCGUGCUUAACACAUGCAAGUCGAACGGGGUGCCCAUGAAGGAGAUUUCGGUCAACGGAUUGGGUUACUUAGUGGCGGACGGGUGAGUAACGCGUGAGGAACCUGCCUUUCAGAGGGGGACAACAGUUGGAAACGACUGCUAAUACCGCAUAACAUGUAGGUGUCGCAUGGCAUUUACAUCAAAGAUUUAUCGCUGAGAGAUGGCCUCGCGUCUGAUUAGCUAGUUGGUAGGGUAACGGCCUACCAAGGCGACGAUCAGUAGCCGGACUGAGAGGUUGGCCGGCCACAUUGGGACUGAGAUACGGCCCAG